AACGAACGCUGGCGGCAUGCCUAACACAUGCAAGUCGAACGAGACCUUCGGGUCUAGUGGCGCACGGGUGCGUAACGCGUGGGAACCGUGCCUUUAGGUUUCGGGAAUAACUCAGAGAAAUUUGAGCUAAUACCGGAUAAUGUCUUCGGACCAAAGAUUUAUCGCCUUUAGAUGGGCCCGCGUUGGAUUAGCUAGUUGGUGGGGUAAAGGCCUACCAAGGCGACGAUCCAUAGCUGGUCUGAGAGGAUGAUCAGCCACACUGGGACUGAGACACGGCCCAGACUCCUACGGGAGGCUG
rnacentral:rRNA from 1 species